rnacentral:rRNA from 1 species
GAAACUGCGAAUGGCUCAUUAAAUCAGUUAUUGUUCCUUUGGCAGUCCCUUUUUACUUGGGUAACUGUGGCAAUUCUAGAGCUAAUACAUGCCAAAAGCCCCGACUUCGGUUGUGGGUGGACUUGUUAGAUAAAGAAUCAAUGCCUUCGGGGCUAGUGGGUGAAUCAUGACAAUUACGCGGAUCGCAUGGCCUUGUGCCGGCGAUACCCCAUUCAAAUUUCUGCCCUAUCAACUUUAGAUGGUAGCGUCUUGGGCUACUCUGGUUUCGACGGGUAACGGGGAAUUAGGGUUCUAUUCCGGAGAGGGAGCCUGAGAAACGGCUACCACAUCCAAGGAGGGCAGCAGGCGCGCAAAUUACCCAAUCCCGACUCGGGGAGGUAGUGACAAUAAAUACUGAUACAGGGCUCUUUUGGGUCUUGUAAUUGGAAUGAGUACAAUUUAAAUCUCUUAACGAGGAACAAUUGGAGGGCAAGUCUGGUGCCAGCAGCCGCGGUAAUUCCAGCUCCAAUAGCGUAUAUUAAAGUUGUUGCAGUUAAAAAGCUCGUAGUUGAACCNNGGGCCUGGCUGGUCGGUCCGCCUCACCGNGNGUNUUGUCCGGCCGGGUCC